UUGAUGUUAUAAACCCGUCAUCUUCAGUGCUGGCUUUCUAGCAUGUGCACGUUGGGGCGGCAUUAUUCAUCUCACAACCCCCUUUGUGAACUCCUGGCCUUUGCUGGUUUCGACUGGCAGAGGAAUUUACACAAACUCGAAUGUAAUGAUAAACUGUUGUGUGCAUAUGCACUACUAAUA
rnacentral:misc_RNA from 1 species